GACGAACCGUGCAAACGUUGUUCGGAAUCACUGGGCUUAAAGGGCGCGUAGGCGGGCAGGCAAGUCGAAGGUGAAAUCCCACGGCUCAACCGUGGAAGUGCCCCCGAUACUGCCUGUCUCGAGGGAGAUAGGGGCGUGCGGAACUUCCGGUGGAGCGGUGAAAUGCGUAGAUAUCGGAAGGAACACCGGUGGCGAAAGCGGCGCGCUGGGCCUUACCUGACGCUGAGGAGCGAAAGCGUGGGGAGCGAACAGG
rnacentral:rRNA from 1 species